UAAUCUUUCCAUUACUUAGAAAAGCAAUUAAAAAUCAACUUUCAGCUGAACUUUCCUUUUUAUUGCGGGGCAAAAGAAAGGGUUUGGGGGGAGAAGAGAAAGAAUAUUUUUUCCUCUUCCCAGAGCCCAACAUUUGGCUUUUUCCAUUUGUGGCAGAUCACUGUAACUCUAUUGUAAAACAACUUCCUGCCCCUUUUGGCACAAGUUCCAGAAGCUGCUAGGCUAAGUUCAUAGCACAAACUUUUUCCCCCUUGCUGAAGAAGCAAGACAAAAAAAAAAAGGUCCUUGCUAAUUAUUUUGCCCUCUUUUUUGCUAAUGGAUUUAUAAGAUGAAUUUAUUGCAGUUCCCUUAAGAAUGUGACAAAAGAGACGCCUGUAUUCCAGCUGGACAUUUCAUAAGCUUAAAAGUAAAGUAAGAAACUGAAGACAAUCAAGCACAUCUUUAUUCUGUGUCUGAACUGGGAGAACUUUUGGGGGAUGGAAGAGGAAGAACUAAAAUGUAUCUUACAUCAUGAAACUACGGUGACAACUGCAGAACUGACGUUAAUUUGAAUUUAUCUCAGAACUUACAUCUGUUACCAUAACCCUAACUUAAGAGUGAAAGUAAUCAAAUUUUAGGUCACUGAACAGAAAAAUUAAGGUUUGGAAGAGAUAAGGGCAAACAAUUUAAUUCCAUUCACCAUUCUGAACGGAGGAAGGAUUCCAUAAAGGGAAGUGGAAACAUUAUUUUAAGGUCAAGUACAGUGAAAAUAACUACUCAAGGGACCAACAAAAGUCAGUUGCAUAAUAGAGCUGGUCAUCAAAAUAAGGUGGAACCACAGUGAAUUCAAUACAUUUGGGGAUUGUUUUGAGGAGAGAGUCGCAACUGAUGAAGCUGCAUAACAACACUGGCUCCUUCAUAAGUUUCACUGUGUAAAUCACAUUUAGAAUCCAUAAUGUUGUUAAAGUGCUACGUAUAUUUAUUUUUGUAAUCUGUAUAACAUUUAUCGCUGUAGUGGCAAUUAAUUAAAUGUCAGAUUAUCUUGAAGGAGAACCAACCUUGCUAUUGAGAUCUACAAUGCAUAUGAGAUUAUUAAAUUGUUAACAGUGACACCAAUACUACAGAAUCAACUUUAACAUCUGCAAUGGAGUGUUUGUCACUUUCGUACACCCUGACAGAGAUAAAGUUAUUUUGAAAAGAGUGAAAACUACGGUUGAAUCAACUACUAGGAGAGGAGGUUAAAUGUUCAGAAAGCACUUCAGCAAGAAAAUAUCCAUAAUGUCCCCAUUCAGUUUGAUGAUUUAAGAGGUGGUAUCUUUUGGUAUGUACCAAAAACACUUAAUACUACAUAAUACUGGAUAGAUUAUUUACUGAGAAAAUUGAAAUUAACUGUAAGACAUCUCUUAAUGAAAGAAAAACUUGUUUACUAACAGAAAUCUUAAUGUGACAUUGUCAGAUCAACUGAGGUGCUCAUUUUAGUUUUUAAAGAGAAAGGAGCAUUUUACAAAACUUAGAUUGAAAGAAAUAUUUUCUUUAUUUUUCUAAAAGUUCCAGUUCUAGAAGUCUUUUUGUUUAGAUCAAACAUUCCCCUAUAAAGUCAGCACCCCACACAUUGUAUCUCUGUACUAGUACAUUACAACUAAAAUAUGAAAAGUCACUAAACAAAGCACAUAAGAACUCGCUCAUCUAUUUUCACUCCCCAAACUAAGCAUACAGCAAAAAGGCAAACAAUAUGACUGCCUGUAUGCAAAAGGUGAAAAGUUAUUUUCUAUUUUCAAUAUUCAGUAUUCUAAAUAUAGCUUGUUAACACUGGAAAGGAACUUAAAUAUAUAAGAUUUCUGACCUGACAGUGAUCCUCCUAUUAGACAACAUAGGACAUAAUACACAUUUUUAAAAAUUCUGAAUUGUGUGAAAACAUUAGGUUAUUGAACAGAAAGAUUUUAAAAAUCUUUUUAUGUGUUACUAUCUAAAUAUUUUAUUUUUGCACUUCUCUUCAUUUGGACAAGGAAAAGUUAUUGGCAAAUUUCAGUGUUUUAUAUAGUCACUUUUAUUUGCCAUUUCUCAUGUACUAGCACCAGACUGUUUGCUUGGUUCCAUAGCAGAACCAUUCUCAGUAAGAUCAAAUAAAAAAAUCAUAAACAUUCUAUUUGUAAUGGGUUUUGUUUCAAUCACCUUAUUUUCUGUUUUAUUACUCAAUCCAAAUUUUGGACCUAAAGUAGCUGACAGUUAUCAUUUAAAUACACAUAAUUCCCAAAAUACAUUAUUUUGUUUUAAAGACAAGAAUUUUUUUUUUUAAUUUGAGAUUGAUAGAAUUCAAAGAAAAGAAAGUUUCAAAAGGAGUGAACUGAAAGGAUCAGGCAAAAAUAAGUGACAGAUUAUUUGCAGUCUUGCUGAAGCAUUACAUUUUCUAGGCUAUAUUUAUCUUUGUUCAAAUAGGUCAAAUUCUUACUAUAUCAUACAGCUCAAUCACAUGGCCCUGGUCCACUGGAGGGAGUUAUUUCAAAAUAAUUCCCUUUAUUUUGAAAUAAUAAGCGGAGCGUCCAUAGUA